rnacentral:tRNA from 1 species
GGGGUUGUGGCUCGGUGGUAGAGCGCUCGCCUAGCAUGUGCGAGGCCCUGGGUUUGAUCCUCAGCACCACA